rnacentral:lncRNA from 1 species
ACACCGGCACCAGGGCUCCAGGAGGGUGCUGACUAGCAGACAGCAGCUUUCCCGGUAAGGUCCUGGGACCGUAGGCGCCUGCCACUUAACGCUGGCGGUUAGUUACGCCUGUAACAGGCGACAAGACUGUUUUGGACACGUCUCCCCUACUCCGGGUCUGGAAAUCCAGUAGUCGACCCUCGGACCCCCCAACUGCGACUCGCCCGGCCGCUCGCCACCGCACCUCCAGCUCUAUAUUGUGUGGGGACAAAAAUGACUCGAUGGUGCAGUCCCUGCGCCACCCUUCUGGAAGAAAUGGGGCACGUUAUUUUCUAUCUACACUGCGAACGCAACGCUGGGACGAAAGCGCUACUGCGGGCCCAGGACUGUGGCGAGCAGGACCGACGCCCUUUUCCUGUCACACUGAGAAGCCCGAGCGGCCGCCCGGAGGGCUCUCUGACGGUAGGCUUUCUCGUCGGUACCAAGACGAAGCACGGAAGAGGGCGAGCGCAGGCGGCCCGCUGCGUGCCCGGGGAGCUCUCGGUGGCGAGCCGCGAGCGGGCGGGCGGGCGGGCGGCGGUGAGGGCAGGCCGGGCGGAAAGGCGCGUCCCGAGCAGCCGCCGCCCGCCGCGGGCUGUGAUGCGAGGCAGGCGCGCCACUUACCCGCCGCGAAGGGUUUACGUAGCGGACCUCGUCACUGAUUACGGACGGGAGGAGGUGGGGACGCAGAGCCCGACGGCCGCCGCCCAGGCAACCCGGCGGAUGCGGCCGCACGUCGCGCCCACGUCAGCUCUGAUGCGGUUGUCGCGGCCUCUCUGCCGACGCGAACAGAAAGCCGCGCAAGCAGCGGACCGAACUGCGGCCUCGAGCCCUACCCUCCCCUCCCCCACGCCGAUCGCCUCUCUAAGGGGACUGGGUCGGAGGAGAAAAAAAGUUGCAGGCUCGAACUCUGCCCCCUGCUGGCAGUCAGCGGGAUUGCAGAGGUGACAAUCCAACAAUUAAAUAGAACGGGGGUCGGGGCGGAGCCUUGGGGACGGGGCGUAUUGGAGGAGGACGCCUUGUUGAGGCAGAUGACUAGGAAGAGCUAAGGGGUGGGACAGGAAAACGGAAGCUACAACUUCCGCGCGUGCGCUCGAAGUGUCCGUAUUCUCCAACUACAACGAUGCUGUGCAACGCAUCGUCAUUUUUUUUUUUCCUAUAUACUUUGUAGGAUGACUCUUGACUCUGACCUCAAUCCCAAAGUGUGGGGGUUCGGUCUCCGCCGGAGGCGCGUGCUAGGCGCUAAAGCCUGCCGAGUUCCCCGGCUUCAAGGAUGGUUCUGGAAACCGCCGUUAGGUCUGGAGUGUACUUUGUCGCGGUCCCUCUUCCUAGCCUGCCUUCUCGGUAGAACUUGUUUGCCCCAACGUACAAAUAGCUACAAGCCGUAGGCAGAAGUGUGGCAGAGGAUAGUAAAACAGUUUGGUAAAAGCUAGGACCUUUUUUUUUUUUUUUUUUUUGAGCCUAUUAAUAAUGGAAAAUUUCGGUUUCGAUCGUGAGAUUUUGCAUAAGCUCUGUAAAGCAGUCACCUACGUGAUUAGCACCUUUCUAAUACCUCCUCUUACUCUAAGCCCUCCUGAAGAGAGUCUGGUCCUCUUAAACACAGGGACUUUCGUUCUUAAAACUAAGUCACUAUGCAAUCCGAAACAAAAAUGGACCAACACUCAAGACUGGCCAUCUGGAAAUCUCUAGUGAAAAGUUGCUGUAAGGAAAUGCCAAGAACAAGAUAGUACAAUUUCAGAAUGGAUAUAUUGUGGGUAACAGAGUACCUGUAGACCAGGGGAUGUGGCUCAGGAUUACUGUAUUUGUCUGAAAGGUGAGUAAGGGCUGGGGUGGGAGGAGGCACUGUAACAGAAUGCUGCUGUUUACCAAAUUUUGACCAACACAGUUACAAUUACAAAAAAGGCAGAGUAACACCUGGGCAAGGUGGUAAAUGCCUUUAAUCCCAGAGCUCAGAAAGCAGAAGCAGGUGGAUCUCUGUGAGUUCAAGGCCAGCCUGGUCUACCAAGUGAGUCCAGAACAGCCAGGGCUACACACAGAAACUGUCUCAAACAAAAUCAGAAUAAAACCUAAUCACUUACAGGAGGUUUUGUUUCAUCCCUUUAAUCCCAGCAGUCUGUAAUCAAGAUAGACCUUGAUCCCCUAAUCUUCCUGCUCCAACUUCCAAAGUACUGGAACUUUUUAUAGUCCCAGCACACUCACACCUCUUUUAAGAUCUGCAGAUCAGUUUUUAAAGCUGUGGGAUAAUCCCUCUGUAGUACUGUAGCUAACUACAUGCUGAACCAUAGAAAUGCCUUACAUUUUCCAGCUCAUGUAGAUAGCCUUUUUUCUCUCCAUUUCCACGAUAAUUGCUUGGUUCUCUACUGAAAUUUUAUCAUCCUUUAAGACAGCUAAAUAUCACUUCUUUUUACUUUUGUUGUUUGAGGAGUGAGAGGUUCCUGGGGAUUAAAUCUAUGACUGUAGCCUCAGGCAUGCUUUGAAAAUUCACUAGUACUAAGCUAUGACCCCAGCACUAUCACCCCUUUUCCUUUCUUCUUUAAUCUUCAGAAGGAUCUCACUAAUUCACAUUUAUCUUAAAAUAAUUUGGGGGCUUGGGCUGACCUUGUGUUUUCAAGGUUUGUUUUAGGUUCCUAAGUAGCUGGAACAAUAUGCCUAGGCCAUAGGCUCAAGCCCCACUCCACCUCUGUUGAAAAGAGGUUACUGCUUAACUGUCUUGUAGUCCAGAGUCUAAAGCCUGAGAAGACCCAAAGCCACCCAUCACCAUCACCACCUAGUCAAUCGCCAUACAUUCUCUCUUCCAAUGCUGUUAUCCUCUGCCUCUAAGUGCUGUGGCAUGGUCCUACUGACCUGGUUUCAUUUAAGGCCCUUCUGAACUUGGAAUGAAUCAGACCAUCAGAGAUGCGAGAUCUGUGUGCAUUUGAGAUUCUGGAACCUACAGGAAGUAUGAGACCACAACAGAGCAAGACCAAAUUUAUAGGUCUGUGCUUUGACUAAUUUAAUGUUGAGGGAGGUCCCUCUCCCCAUAAAAUUUGGAUGACAUCCAAAGAGGGAUAUGUGCAGGUCUUUUUUGUUGAUGCUUUUGUAAAAAAAAAACUGGAGUUCAGGGAAUAAAAUAGUCAAAGAAAAAUACUGGAAAAGCAUGUUUCCUGAGAGCUUGAGUAGACUGCAUACAAAACCACCAAGAUAUACCUGCAUAAAAACCAAAAUAAAGUUGGCAUUCACAGAAGGCUGAACACUAGCUAGUAAGUGCACUCAGCAUUAAUCUGGCAGCACUAGGCACUAAAUAGCAUGGUAAACUAUGGGGUCAACCAGCAGCACUGUGCAAAUGUACAGCCACAGGGAGAAGAGUUAGAAGGAACUUUGAAAUUCUGGUUUUUAACUUUGUUCAACAUCUUAACAAUGCUUUGUUUGUUUGUUUGCUUGCUUGCUUGCUUGCUUGCUUGCUUGCUUUUAUAACAAGGUCUUACUAUCCAGCCCAGGCUGGCCUCAAACUUUUGAUCCUCCUGUAUCAACCAUCUGACUGCUAUGAUUAUAAGUAUAUACGCCAUUCUUAGCAAAUUUAAAACUAUUUUCUUUUUUUGUUAUUGGUGAUGUUUUUGUUUGGUUGGUUGGUUAGGUUUUGUUUGUUUGUUGAGACAGGGUUUCUCUGUGUAGGUCUGACUGUCUUGGAGCUCACUCUGUAGACCAGGCUGGCCUGGAACCCAGAAACCCACUGCUCAACCUAUUUUAAGAUGAAAUUAGUGGACUGAUAAAAAGAGGCCCGCUAUAGAUGAAAUUGAGCUCUACUUUCUCCAAGAAGGAGGAAAUAGAUGAAAAUAUACUUUAUAUGUCCCUGUUAGAAAUGAAGAUCGUGUAACUGAGUGUAGUGGCACACCCUUUAACCCUAGAAACUUGGGAGUCAGAGGCAGACAGAUCUCUUAGUUCCAAGCCAGCCUAUGUGAGUUCCAGGACAGCCAGAGCUACAUAGAGAGACCCUGUCUCAAAAGCCACAAAGAACAUCAGGUAAUAAACAUUAAUGUUAUUUUGUACAGACACUGUGUGUUGACAGUAAAGGUGGGAGCUAGAGAACCUCCACCAUUUUUAGGGAAAAGAAAUCAGAGACAGCAAGAUGGCUUACCAGGUAAAGGUGCCUGCCACCUAGCCUAGAAGGAGAAAACCACCUCCUGAGAAGAAAGGUGUGGACACUAUUAGAAAACAAACCAGUCAGGAGUAGGAGGAACAAGGAAGGGGAAGUUGGGGAGGACAAGAGCUAGUAAAGGAAUCUUUUUUAAAACUAAUUUUUAGGACUGGUGAUGUGGCGCAGUGGUAAAGGCACAUGCUGCCAGACCUGCUAAUGUAAGUUUGAUCCCUGGGAUCCAUAUGGUAGAAGGAAAGAACCAACUUCCAUAAAUUGUCCCCUGAUCUCCCACACAUGCACCUUGGCUAAUGAGCACACACACACACACAAACACACACACACACGCACACAUGUUCAUCUAGAUCUCACAUCUCACAUAGGAAAGAAAACAUGGAAUCAUUUCUCUUUCUUCCUCUCCAUCACUCUCUCUUGUUCCCUCUCUUCUCUGCAUUAAACUCACCAUCACCCUCACAUAGCCCAGCUUUGACUUUCCUGUCUGUAAUGCCUGCUUUUGGUUGUCAAUUUGACUACAUCAGGAACUAACUAAAAUACAAAUGAUUGAGAACACCUGUGAGGUAUAGUUUUCUUCUUUUUCAAAAAUAUAUUUAUUUUUAUUUAUUUAUUCUUCUCUCAUAUAUUACAUCCUGACCAAAGUUUUCCCUCUCUCCUAUACUCCCAGGCCUUUCCCCAAAUUCCCUUCUCUCAGAUCCACUCCUGUUUUCCUUCAGAAAAGAGCAGGCCUCCCAGGGGUAUCAACCAAACAUGACAUAACAAUUUGCAGUAUGUCUAGGCAUAUAUCCUCAUAUCAAUGCGGAACUAGGCAACCAGGUAGGAGAAAAAGGAUCCCAAAAGCAGGCAAAAGAAUCAGUGAUACCACCACUCCCUCGGUUGGAAGUCCCACAAGAACACUAAGCUACAUAAGCAUAACAUAUAUGCAAAGGACCUAGGUUAGACCUAUACAGGCUUGCUGAUUAUCAUUCAGUCUCUGUGAGCCCCCAUGAUCCCCUGUUAGUUGAUUCUGAGGACCCAUUUUCUUGUGAUAUCCUUGAACCCUCUGGCAACUACAAUCCUUUUUCUCCCCCUUCCAAGGGAUUCCAUUAGCUCUAACCAAAUAAAUGGCUGUGUGUCUCUGCAUCUGCAUAUCAGUUGCUGGAUGAAGCCUCUGUAGUAAUGAUUAUCCUAGAUCCUAGUCUAGACUAUAGGAGACUAUUAUUAUGAAUCAUUUCAUUGAUUUUUUUUUAUUUUUAUUUCUUGCCAGUCAUAUUUGAUGUUUUCCUAGGUCUCUGGGCUAUCUGGCCUCUGGUUGCUAGAAGUGUCCCGAAAGAGCUCCCUAACAUGGAAUGGGUCUGACUGGACCAGUCAGUGGUUGGCUACUCCCACACGUUCUAGUCUACCUUCACUCCAGCAAAUUUUGCAGUCAAGACAAAUUGUAGGUCAAAGGUUAUGACUGGGUUGGUGUCUCUGUUCCUCCACUGGAAGUCUUGCCUGGUUACAGAAGUUACAAGUCUUUGCUACGGUCACCCUUGUAGAUUCCAGGGAGUUUCCAUUGCACUACAUUUCUACUUACCCCAGAAAUGACCACCAAUUCCAGCCUUUCCCAGUACUCUCUCCCACCUUCGAAAUCUAUUUUGUUUCCCCUUCCCAAAGAGAUCCAAACAUCCCACCUUGACCACUCCUUGUUAGAUAGCCUCUCUGGGUCUGUGGAUUUGUAAUAUGAUUAUCCUUUAUAGCUAAUGUCCACUUAUAAGUGAACAUAUACCAUGUUUUUCUUUCUGUGUCUGGGUUACCUCACUCAGGAUGAUUUUUUUUCUAGUUCAAUCCAUUUGUCUGAAAACGUUAUGAUGUCAUUUUUCUUUUUUAACAGCUGAGUAAUACUGCAUUGUGUACCACAUUUGCCACACUUACUUUAUCCAUUCUUGAGUUGAGGAACAGUUUUUAGUUUCUGGCUUGUUAGCAUGUAGAAGGAUGCAAACAGAUCUAUAUCUAUUACACUGCACAAAACGCAAGCCCUAUUGGAUCUAAGACCUGAACAUAAAAUCAGAUUCACUAAACCUUAUAGAGUAGAAAGUGGGGAAUAGCCUUGCACACACUGCCAUAAGGGAGAACUUCCUGAACAGAACACUCAUAGCUCAGGCACUAAGAUCAACAAUUAAUAAAUGGGACCUCAGGAAACUGAGGCAAAGGACACUGUCAAUAUGACUAAGUGGCAGCCUACAAAAUGGAAAAAGUUUUUGUUUUGUUUUGUUUUUUACCAACUUCACAUCUGUCAGAGGGCUACUCAAGAAACUAGACAUAAACAAUAAUCCAAUUUUAAAAAUGGGAUAUAGCCAGGAGUAGUGGUACAUGCCUUUAAGUCCAGCACUUAGGAGGCACAGACAGCUGGAACUCUGAAUUUUUGGCCAACCUGGUCUACAGACUGAGUUCUAGGACAGUCAGGGCUACACAGAGAAACCCUGUCUCAAAGAAGCAACCAACCAAAAAAAUGGAGUACAGAUUUAAACAGAAUAAGAGAGGAAUCUCAAAUGGUGGCUGGGAAGCACUUAAAGAAAAGUUCAACAUUCUUAGCCAUCAGGGAAAUGCAAAUCAGAACAACUUUGAGAUUCUAUAGCCAAG